rnacentral:rRNA from 1 species
UACGUAGGGUGCAAGCGUUGUCCGGAAUUAUUGGGCGUAAAGAGCUCGUAGGCGGUUUGUCGCGUCGAAUGUGAAAACCCGGGGCUCAACCCCGGGCCUGCAUUCGAUACGGGCAGACUAGAGUUCGGUAGGGGAGUCUGGAAUUCCUGGUGUAGCGGUGAAAUGCGCAGAUAUCUGGAGGAAUACCGGUGGCGAAGGCGGCAUCCUGGACCGACAUUGACGCUGAUGAGCGAAAGCUAGGGGAGCAAACGGG